GAUGAAGAACGUAGCGAAAUGCGAUAAGUAAUGAGAAUUGCAGAAUUCAGUGAAUCAUCGAAUCUUUGAACGCACAUUGCGCCCUUUGGCAUUCCGAAGGGCAUGCCCGUUCGAGCGUCAUUACACCCCUCAAGCCUGGCUUGGUAUUGGGCGACGGCAGUCUGCCGCGCCUCGAAGUGAUCGGCUGGACGGUUUGAAUCUCAGCGUUGCGGUUUCAUCAAUUCGCUGGCGAGGACGACCGGACGCGCCGUUAAACCUCAAUCACAGGUUGACCUCGGAUCGGGUAGGGAUACCCGCUGAACUUAAGCAUAUCAAAAGCGGAGGA
rnacentral:misc_RNA from 1 species